AAUAAGUGCAGUUUUACAUUAUUCAUGUCUAACGUUUGACCGUUCAUCUUAUUUUAAAAAUAUAUGAUUACUAUUUUUGUUGUUAUUAGAUGAUAAAAUAUGGAUAGUUCUUUAUAUAUCACUAACUUUUUUAGUUUUUUUCUUAAAUUUUUAAAAUAAGACGGACGGUCAAAUAUUGGACACGAAAACCCACGGCUACACUUAUU
rfam:Oryza punctata chromosome 5, whole genome shotgun sequence.